GAGUUUGAUCGUGGCUCAGGAUGAACGCUGGCGGCGUGCUUAACACAUGCAAGUCGAACGGAGUACCCUCGAAGGAGUUUUCGGACAACUGAGAGGACUACUUAGUGGCGGACGGGUGGAGUAACGCGUGAGUAACCUGCCUUGGGAGUGGGGAAUAACAGCUGGAAACAGCUGCUAAUACCGCAUGAUGCAGUUGGGCCGCAUGGCUCUGACUGCCAAAAGAUUUAUCGCUCUGAGAUGGACUUCGCGUCUGAUUAGCUGGUUGUGGGUAACGGCUC
rnacentral:rRNA from 1 species